rnacentral:lncRNA from 1 species
GUACUGUCAGGCCUAGCAAUUAGGUAAAGUGCUUUUCAAUCACUCUUGAAAGAGUGAUGCGCUCGAAACGCGUCGACCCGAGAAAUCAUGCAACUAGCUCUGUGUAAAUAUCACCACCUCUUCACAUGUUGAGUGGACAGUGGAGGAAUGUCUUUAUAGGUUGUGUCUACAUGUUUGCUAAAGUCCUAGAUUUUUGCAAUUCUUUGGCGAAUACUUCUUCGAUUUUGUUGUUUUGGGGUGCAUUUGAUAUCUACAAAUUCAAAUUUCUUUGCUUUUUUAUUUGGUAGUUUUACCCAUGGAAUAUUAUAAUUUAUGUGAGUAUAAUUGUUAGCAUUCUGUUUCUAUAUAGAAAGAACAUGAGCUCUUCAGUAAUGCUGUCAAAUUUGAGUUUUUUAGCAUUUUGUUUCAAUGGGUGGAAUUUUUAGCAUCUGUUUCUUUUAGCAUUCUGAUACACCAGUCCAAAGAAUCUGUUCUAACAAAAAAAUGUAACUGGACCAGUAGACCCGACCCGUUUCAAACUGGCCCGAUUAGGUUUGGUUUCAAAGUUCAAAACUCUUAUACCCGGCCCGGCCCACCCCAUGAUAAUUUAAAGCAGAUCCGUUAUGGUCCCUUCAAAUUUGGACUCUACCCAACCCGUGCCCAUCCCUACAAUAACCUAAGAAUUUUUUUGACGCUACUCCAAAUGUGCACUUUUUCGAAUUAAGCGUCAAGUUGUAUAUUUGUAGCAGGUCGAAUCAGUCUUGUAUUUGUAUGUGAGUGAGGUAAUCCUUCUUCUCCUUAUUUUUAACCUCCAUGUCAUUGACAUAUGCAUCCAUUGUCUUUUUAAGUUCUCUUGAAGAUCUUGUUCAUCAAUCUUUGAUCGGUUACUCCUACAUUCUUUUGUCUGAAAGGCAUAACACAAAAAAAAUAUGUACAUCUAUCAAACGAAAGAUGUAACAAAAUUAAACAAGCGUGUAAUAGAAUAAUCAUCAUUCGUUUCUAACUGUUGGGACUGUGCCUUUUUCCACUUCGGUCUUAUCGGGACCAUCUUUAAGUUGUCUUUCUAUAUUAACUGUCAUAAUCUACACAUCAUAUGUCUAAGUAGAAACCUAAUCCUGAGGGAUUAAAGGACUUACAUACAUCAUAUGUGUAAGUAUCAACCUAAUCCCGGGUGAUUAAGGGAGUCACAUAAAUAUGGAGAUAGCAAAUUCCAACUUCAAGAAAUAACAAGGACGAGGCACCCCACUUUAUUAAAUGUGAAGGUAAAUUUAAAGUUUUUAAAACAUACAAGUGUCAAACCAUGCCCUCAUGUUAUACCGAUAAUCACAUGGCUCAAUUAUUUGGUGUAGUCCAUGAUCAUCAUUAUUUUUUGGGUUUUUAUCACAAAUGAUCUCUGAAAUUAACCAACCCCAUCAAGAUGGCACCUGAAAUUGAAAAUCAAUCAAAGUAGUUCCUAGAAUUAGGUGUCGCAAAUCAAUGUAGUUCUUCCAUCAUAAUUCCGUUAAAAAUUAUGUUAUGUGGCGAUGUGGCAAAUGAGGUGGCACACUUUAUAUAUAAAAAACUAAUAAAUAUUAUUAAAAACUAAAAAAAAAUCAUUUAAUAUAUAUUUUUUUCUUCUUCUUCUCUUCUUCUUUCUAGGUUGCAGCGAACUUGGGCUUU